CGAUAGUUGUCGGAGGUCCUCGCCGGUGGAACAGGUACCUGUCCAAGAAAACACAAUACACCCACAAAAGCAGAGGGGAGAAUAACAAGGAAAAGUGCAAGGGUUUCCAGAAGAAUUUCCGGCGGAAACAAAAAUCAAAGCCACCGAAAUUUAUAAUUUUAAGAAACACAUGCGGCAAAUAGGAAGAACAAAUAAGAGAAACAGCAGCAAAAAAGAAAAUUCAUAUACAAACAAAUUAAAAAACAGAGGGAAUGAAA
rnacentral:lncRNA from 1 species